rnacentral:rRNA from 1 species
UACGGAGGGUGCAAGCGUUACCCGGAAUCACUGGGCGUAAAGGGCGUGUAGGCGGGAUGUUAAGUCUGACUUUAAAGACUGUGGCUCAACCACAGGAGUGGGCUGGAUACUGGCAUUCUAGACAACUGGAGAGGCGAUUGGAAUUACUGGUGUAGCGGUGAAAUGCGUAGAUAAUCGGGAGGAACACCAGUGGCGAAGGCGGCUUUCUGGUCUGUUCUUGACGCUGAGGCGCGAAAGCUAGGGUAGCAAACGGG